UCAGCGGCAGACGGGUGAGUAACGCGUGGGAACGUACCUUUUGGUUCGGAACAACACAGGGAAACUUGUGCUAAUACCGGAUAAGCCCUUACGGGGAAAGAUUUAUCGCCGAAAGAUCGGCCCGCGUCUGAUUAGCUAGUUGGUGAGGUAAUGGCUCACCAAGGCGACGAUCAGUAGCUGGUCUGAGAGGAUGAUCAGCCACAUUGGGACUGAGACACGGCCCAAACUCCUACGGGAGGCAGCAGUGGGGAAUAUUGGACAAUGGGCGCAAGCCUGAUCCAGCCAUGCCGCGUGAGUGAUGAAGGCCCUAGGGUUGUAAAGCUCUUUUGUGCGGGAAGAUAAUGACGGUACCGCAAGAAUAAGCCCCGGCUAACUUCGUGC
rnacentral:rRNA from 1 species